rnacentral:rRNA from 1 species
GCAGUCUGCAACUCACUGCAUGAAGUCGGAAUCGCUAGUAAUCGCGGAUCAGCAUGCCGCGGUGAAUACGUUCCCGGGUCUUGUACACACCGCCCGUCAAACAAUGGGAGUGGUGUUUACCAGAAGUCGUUAGCCUAACCGCAAGGAGGGCGGCGACCACGGUGAGCACCGUGACUAAUGUUAAGUCGUAACAAGGUAAC